rnacentral:rRNA from 1 species
AUGGAGGCUGUGGUGAGUGCUUCGCAUGGCGCUUUCGGGCCCCUGCUUGUGAAACUCAAUGAUUUGCUCGCCGGCGAGUACGCCCGACUGAAAGGGGUCCGCCGUGAGAUGCGCUCCCUCAGGUCUGAGCUUAGCAACAUGCAUGCUGCGCUCCAGAAGUACACGAUGCUACAAGAUCCCGACAUCCAAGUGAAGGCAUGGAUAUCGGAGGUCAGGGAGUUGGCCUAUGAUACCGAGGACUGCGUUGACAAGUUCAUUCACCGCCUCGGCAGGCACCACCACCACCGCGGCAUCAAGGAGUUCUUCCGCAGGAGCGCUCGUCGCCUGAAGACACUUGGAUCUUGGCGCCAAAUUGCCAAGCAAAUUGUUGAACUCAAGGCUCGUGUUAUGUCAGUGAAAGAUCAGAGGACUAGCUACAAGCUUGAUGAUAUGGUUUGUGGCACUUCUGGUCAUGCAGUUGUGGAUCCACGUCUGGCAGCUCUUUUUAUCGAGGAGGCACAUCUUAUGGGUAUUGAAGAUCCUAGAGAUGAUCUUGCCAAGUGGGCACUAGACGCGGAAAACAGCUUGGGCACGCGUUGCAGGGUGUUGUCUAUUUUUGGAUUUGGUGGGUUGGGAAAAACAACACUAGCAAAUGAAGUCUACCGUAAGAUCAGAGAGCAUUUUCAUUGCCAUGCUUUUGUAUCCGUAUCGCAAAAGCCCGAUGUUAGAAAAAUCAUCAAGGAUAUAAUCUCCCAAGUGCCAUGCCACGAUGGAUUUACAAAGGACAUUCAAUUUUGGGAUGAAAAGAAAUCCAUUGAAAAGCUAAGGGAGCUGCUACAAGAUAAAAGGUAUCUUGUCAUUAUUGAUGAUAUAUGGUCAACAUCCACAUGGAAUACUAUCAAGUGUGCUUUUCCAGAAAAUAAUUGUUCAAGCAGAGUUAUAACGACCACACGUAUUUUUGACGUAGCAAGCUCAUGUUGUCAAGUUGGGGAUGAUCACAUCUAUUAUAUGGAACCUCUGAGCGAUCUUCACUCUAAGAAGUUGUUUUUCAAUAGGAUCUUCGGCUCUGAGGAUUGCUGCCCUGAUAUAUUGAAAGAUCUUUCCGAUGCAAUCUUGAGAAAAUGUGGAGGUCUACCAUUGGCAAUAAUAAGUAUAUCUGGUUUGUUGGCAAGUAGACCAGCUGUAAGAAAUGAUUGGGAGAAGAUUCGGAAGUCGAUUGGUUUUGCACUUGACAAGAGUCAAAGUCUAGAGGGCAUGAAGAGCAUACUAUCCCUUAGCUACAGUUCUCUUACACCUAAUCUCAAGACAUGUUUGUUGUACUUUAGUAAUUUUCCCGAGGAUUACAAGAUUGAGAGAGAUACAUUGGUUAGGCGGUGGAUGGCAGAAGGCUUUAUUUCUGAAGAGCGUGGGCAGAGCCGACAAGAGGUUGCAGAGAACAAUUUUUAUGAGCUUAUCAACAAAAGCAUAGUCCAACCAAUGGACAUUGGUUAUGAUGGUAAGGCUCGUGCAUGUCGAGUCCAUGACUUGAUGCUUGAGUUUGCUAUUUCAAAGGCGGCCGAAGAGAAUUUCAUCACUGUGCUAGGUGGCCAAAUGGUGUUACCAAAUUCCAAUUGUUAUAUUCGACGAUUAUCAGUCCAACACAUUAACUCGGAGCUUGCAUCGACGUUGGCAAGUAAAGAACUGCACCAUGUUCGGUCUCUUACAGCCUCGGGCUGCAUCAAGCAAAUGCCUAACCUUGUUGAGUUUGAAAGUUUGCGUGUAUUGGAUUUUGAAGGUUGUGAGGGUUUGAAGGGGUAUGAUUUGAACAAUAUCAACAAACUUUUCAAACUAAAGUACCUUGGCCUUCGGAGUACAUGCAUAUCAAAUGUACCAUCAGGAGUUGUAAUGCUGCAUGAUCUGGAGACACUAGAUCUGAGGGAUACAUAUAUCCAAGAGUUGCCUGCUGGAAUCGUCCAGCUCAGUAAACUACAAUAUCUUCUCACUGCAAGGGAAACAACGAUACCAAGUGGGAUUGGAAAGAUGAAGAGCUUAUGUGAGAUCUCGGGCUUUAAUAUAACAACGAGUUCAGUUGGAGCGGUGGAGGAGCUCGAGAACUUGACCAAUUUGACUGAACUCCAUGUGGUGUUCAACGGUGGAGGAUCUGACAAGUACAAGAGGCAUGAAGAGAUGUUGCUUUCCUCACUAUGCAAGCUUGGCAGGUAUAGUCUCCAGUCCUUCAGGAUACAAAGUAAAGAUUCAACUCCCCUUGACUUCUUAGAUUCAUGGAGCCCUCUGCCAUCGUCGCUACAAUUGUUUAUUAUGAGUACCAGCUAUUAUUUGCCAAAACCUCCAAAGUGGCUUGCACCAACAGUGACCAGCCUUACACAUCUCAACAUCAAUCUGAGUGAAAUAACGGAGGAGGAUAUCAACAUACUUGGAACGAUGCCUGCUUUGAUUUCAUUGGAGUUAUGGUUUAAGACUAUUCGAAAAGAAAGACUUAUUGUACAAGGCAAUGGAUUCCGCAGCUUGAAGGAAUUCUACUUUAUUCAUAGUUACUAUUUCGCAGGUGCAAGAUACCUUCUGUUUGAGGAAGGGGCAUUGCCAAAGGUUGAGAAGCUUCAAGUGCCAUUCUAUGUGUCAGUAGCAGAAGCCUAUGGCUUAUACUUAGGUAUUGAGCACCUCCCAUGUCUAAAAGAUGCAGAAGUUAGUAUUUACAAUGAGGGGGCCACAGCUUCUGAAAGCAAGGCUGCAGUAGUUGCCAUAAGAAAUGAGGCAAAUGCCCAUCCCAACCAUCCUAGAGUAACUAUCUUCGGACAAGAGAAAAUUUCAUUUCAUUUUCCGUGA